rnacentral:rRNA from 1 species
GUGGGUAACCUGCCUGUAAGACUGGGAUAACUCCGGGAAACCGGAGCUAAUACCGGAUAGUUCCUUGAACCGCAUGGUUCAAGGAUGAAAGACGGUUUCGGCUGUCACUUACAGAUGGACCCGCGGCGCAUUAGCUAGUUGGUGGGGUAAUGGCUCACCAAGGCGACGAUGCGUAGCCGACCUGAGAGGGUGAUCGGCCACACUGGGACUGAGACACGGCCCAGACUCCUACGGGAGGCAGCAGUAGGGAAUCUUCCGCAAUGGACGAAAGUCUGACGGAGCAACGCCGCGUGAGUGAUGAAGGUUUUCGGAUCGUAAAGCUCUGUUGUUAGGGAAGAACAAGUGCGAGAGUAACUGCUCGCACCUUGACGGUACCUAACCAGAAAGCCACGGCUAACUACGUGCCAGCAGCCGCGGUAAUACGUAGGUGGCAAGCGUUGUCCGGAAUUAUUGGGCGUAAAGGGCUCGCAGGCGGUUUCUUAAGUCUGAUGUGAAAGCCCCCGGCUCAACCGGGGAGGGUCAUUGGAAACUGGGAAACUUGAGUGCAGAAGAGGAGAGUGGAAUUCCACGUGUAGCGGUGAAAUGCGUAGAGAUGUGGA